CUGAAGUUGGACACUUAACCGACUGAACCACCCAGGUGCCCCUAUUCUUAUCCUUGUUUCUUAAGGUGGAAGCUUUGCUUUCGGGACUGAGACCUUUUCUAAUGUAAACAUCUAUACAUUUGCCUUGAAGCACCUCUUAUUUUCAUCCCACAAACUUCGUAUGUUGCGUUUCCAUUUUCAUUCCAUUUCAAGUAUUUUCUAAUUUCUAUUGAGACUUCGGUUUUGAUUCAUGUAUUAUUUAGAAAUGUGUUUAAUUUCCAAAUACUUAGCGAUCUUCCAGAUAUUUUCUAUUGAUUUCUAGUUUAAUUCCUAUAUGGUCAGAGAACAAACUUUAUGGGAUUUAAAUUCUUUAACAAUUAUUAAAGUUUGUUUUAUGACCCAGAACACAGUCAAUCAUGGAGAACCCUCUAUGGGCACUUCAAACGAAUGCGUGUUCUACUCUUACUGGGUGGAAUAUUCCAUAAAUGUUAAUAAGAGUCAGUUGGCUGAUGAUGAUACUCACUUCUAUAUCCUUGAUGAUCUUCUGCCAAUUGUUCUAUUAAUUACUGAGAGAUUAGUUGAAGUUUCUAACUAUAAUUUGGGAUUUGUCCAUUUUUUUCUUUUAGUUCUGUCAGUUUUUGCUGCCUGCAUUUUGAAGCUCUGAUCCCAGGUGCAUAUGCAGUGAAGAUUGUUACAUUUUCUCGGUCUCAGAAUACCGGCACCCAGGAUUAUAUCCAACCUCUGCAGGAGAUGGGACUAUGUGCUUGUGGGGAAAUUGACCAGCUCAAGAGAAAGGACCUAAUAAAACUGACAAUCGAGUCUC